rnacentral:rRNA from 1 species
UACGAAGGGGGCUAGCGUUGCUCGGAAUUACUGGGCGUAAAGGGCGCGUAGGCGGAUAGUUCAGUUGGGGGUGAAAUCCCGGGGCUCAACCCCGGAACUGCCUUCGAUACUGGGUAUCUUGAGUUCGGAAGAGGUGAGUGGAAUUGCGAGUGUAGAGGUGAAAUUCGUAGAUAUUCGCAGGAACACCAGUGGCGAAGGCGGCUCACUGGUCCGAUACUGACGCUGAGGUGCGAAAGCGUGGGGAGCAAACAGG